UGUAAAUUCUCCUGAAUUCCAUCUUCUGGUUCAUUUUGUUCUUCAGGUUCAUGCACAUGUUCGUGUUCUUGUUCAAGUUCUUCUACAUGUUCAAGUUCUUGUUCAGGUUGAUAUUCAUGUUCGUGCACAAGUUCGGGUUGAUAUUCAAGUUCUUGAGCUUGUUCGGGUUGAUAUUCAAGUUCUUGAGCUUGUUCGGGUUGAUAUUCAAGUUCUUGAGCUUGUUCAGGUUGAUAUUCAAGUUCUUGAACUUGUUCAGGUUCAUAAAUCUGAUCAAGUUCUGCC
rnacentral:lncRNA from 1 species